AAACAGGGCAAACUGCGCGAAAGCUCAGGACGCAAAGCUUCCGGCCUACGUAUUUAUAUAAGGUAGCGGGGUUGCCGA
rnacentral:ncRNA from 1 species